rnacentral:rRNA from 1 species
UACGAAGGGGGCUAGCGUUGCUCGGAAUCACUGGGCGUAAAGCGCACGUAGGCGGAUUGUUAAGUCAGGGGUGAAAUCCUGGAGCUCAACUCCAGAACUGCCUUUGAUACUGGCGAUCUCGAGUCCGGGAGAGGUGAGUGGAACUGCGAGUGUAGAGGUGAAAUUCGUAGAUAUUCGGAAGAACACCAGUGGCGAAGGCGGCUCACUGGUCCGGUACUGACGCUGAGGUGCGAAAGCCAGGGGAGCGAACGGG